rnacentral:rRNA from 1 species
UACGUAGGGGGCUAGCGUUAUCCGGAUUUAUUGGGUUUAAAGGGUGCGUAGGCGGGCUUUUAAGUCAGCGGUAAAAAUUCGGGGCUCAACCCCGUCCGGCCGUUGAAACUGGGGGCCUUGAGUGGGCGAGAAGAAGGCGGAAUGCGUGGUGUAGCGGUGAAAUGCAUAGAUAUCACGCAGAACCCCGAUUGCGAAGGCAGCCUUCCGGCGCCCUACUGACGCUGAGGCACGAAAGUGCGGGGAUCGAACAGG